rnacentral:rRNA from 1 species
UGCGUAGGCGGGUAAUUAAGUCAGAGGUGAAAUCCCACAGCUUAACUGUGGAACUGCCUUAGAUACUGGUUAUCUUGAGUUUUAGUGAAGUAGAUAGAAUGUGUAGUGUAGCGGUGAAAUGCAUAGAUAUUACACAGAAUACCGAUUGCGAAGGCAGUCUACUAACUAACAACUGACGCUAAUGGACGAAAGCGUGGGGAGCGAACAGGAUUAGAUACCCUGGUAGUCC